rnacentral:rRNA from 1 species
GAUGAACGCUGGCGGCGUGCCUAAUACAUGCAAGUCGAGCGAACAGACGAGGAGCUUGCUCCUCUGACGUUAGCGGCGGACGGGUGAGUAACACGUGGAUAACCUACCUAUAAGACUGGGAUAACUUCGGGAAACCGGAGCUAAUACCGGAUAAUAUAUUGAACCGCAUGGUUCAAUAGUGAAAGACGGUUUUGCUGUCACUUAUAGAUGGAUCCGCGCCGCAUUAGCUAGUUGGUAAGGUAACGGCUUACCAAGGCAACGAUGCGUAGCCGACCUGAGAGGGUGAUCGGCCACACUGGAACUGAGACACGGUCCAGACUCCUACGGGAGGCAGCAGUAGGGAAUCUUCCGCAAUGGGCGAAAGCCUGACGGAGCAACGCCGCGUGAGUGCUGAAGGUCUUCUGAUCGUAAAACUCUGUUAUUAGGGAAGAACAAAUGUGUAAGUAACUAUGCACGUCUUGACGGUACCUAAUCAGAAAGCCACGGCUAACUACGUG